ACUACAGAAAGAUUUUGGUUAUGGAUUUCUUCAUAUUUGGAAGGCUAGUACCAGAAUUUAUUAUUUGAAUUUUGGGACUUAAGAAAUGAACAAUAGAGAUUUCAUUGCUAUGGGACGAUUUUGAGUUACUUAUAGUAAUGACCAAGGAACUAUUUUCUGGAAUUGGGUUAAAAGUGGAACUGUUUAAAUGAAGAAAUUUAUUUCUACUUAGAAACAAG